rnacentral:rRNA from 1 species
GAAUAUUGCGCAAUGGGCGAAAGCCUGACGCAGCGACGCCUCUUGGGGGAUGAAGGUCUUCGGAUUGUAAACCCCUUUCGGGAGGGAAGAUGGGAUGGGGUAACCCAUUCGGACGGUACCUCCUUAAGCAGCCACGGCCAACUUCGUGCCAGCCGCCGCGGUAAUACGAAGGUGGCAAGCGUUGUUCGGAUUUACUGGGCGUACAGGGAGCGUAGGCGGUUGGGUAAGCCCUCCGUGAAAUCUCCAGGCUUAACCUGGAAAGUGCAGAGGGGACUGCUCAGCUAGAGGAUGGGAGAGGAGCGCGGAAUUCCCGGUGUAGCGGUGAAAUGCGUAGAGAUCGGGAGGAAGGCCGGUGGCGAAGGCGGCGCUCUGGAACAUUUCUGACGCUGAGGCUCGAAAGCGUGGGGAGCAAACAGG